rfam:Dipodomys ordii contig_7176, whole genome shotgun sequence.
GGUGGCUCAGUGGUAGAGCGCUUGCCUCGCAUGCACGCGGCCCUGGGUUCGAUUCCUCAGCACCA